rnacentral:tRNA from 1 species
AGGUGGCUCAGCGGUUAAGAGCACUGGCUGUUCUUCCAGAGGUCCUGAGUUCAAUUCCCAGCACCUA